rnacentral:lncRNA from 1 species
AGACAUCGCUGCGGCCGGGAUAGGGCGCCGCCGUUCUGGCCGGCUUUCUCGGUGCCCUGGAGGACCUGGCCGGCUCCGCGGGAAGCUGUACUCAGAGCGCGCGGCCGCCCUCUGGCAGGGAGGAGUUCGUUGCACUUUUGAGGGUUCUUCACGAAGACAUCCAAUACAUAGAAAACAAGUAACAGCAACAGUAACGAAUUUUUAAAUAUUAAAAUUGCUGGGGAACACGACGGAUCCUGCAGCUGCUCGGCUGUCCCGGUCGUCAGUGACGCUAGGGCUCCGCACCGUACCCUGCAUACCGUAGGUGCUCACGAAACGUUCGUGAGUUCCCUGCUCUGAGGAAACAAGCUUAAAAACUCAGAAUCUAAGGUGUGAGUCUCCGCAAACCUGCUUGUUGGGCAGCGUCCCCCGCCCGGGCUAGCCCUGCACGCCCCACCCCGGAGCCACGCUUCUCCAGCCGGGACCCCUGCCUCCUUCCAGGCUAUUCUCGGAACCGCAGCCAGAGGGAAUUUUUUUUUCCUUUCCUGAAACGUAGAGCAGAUCUGGUUACUCUUCUGCACAACGCCCUAAAAUCUAGGGCCCUUCCCAUCCCUCAGAAUUUACAUCUAAUUCUCAGCUCCCCUCCGGCUUGCUGUAGCCAUCCUGGCUUUUGUUUAGCACAGCACUUACUGUUAGUGACAUUAUAUUGUAUAUUAUUAACAUAUUUGUGUUUUACAUCCCUCACUAGACCCCCAGGAAAGAGGCUUUGAUGUGUUGCCUGCUGCAAGGCUGGCUGCAUAAUUUGUGGAGCUCAGAGAAAAGUGCGGAGCUUCCUUGUUCAAAAAACAGAAAGAAAGUGCCUCUGAGGUCAUAAAAUAUAAAACUUUCUCUUUCCUCUCAGUUUCUCUCUUUUCAUAGUGUUUUUAUGUGUUAUUUAAUAUCAUUCCAAGAAAAAUUUAGAUUUAAAUUGUUAGCAUGAAGUUCACCAUCCAUCUUUACGUUGUGCAAUGCCAGUUUUAAAUACUAAUAUAAGUGCACUGAUCUCAUAUGUGGAAUCACAGAAAUUAUGCAAUUUGUACUUCAUAGCUUAUACAUGCAUAUAGAUUUUGUUUUUACCAGAACCACGCUGGUAAAAACAGAUGCUGCACAAAGUGAACUUGCCCGUUUUCAUCGCACUUUACGUGCACGAAUUCUACCUCUACUCUCGACCUGGGACUCACCGAUGCGUAAGGAAGGACUGAAAAGCAAAAGAACUAUGGACUGGCCUUUUGGCAUGAUCAGGUGUCUAAUAUAAAGAAGUGCAUGAAUAAGAAAAUAUAUGAUAUGAGUGAUGGUUAAUACUGACUGUCAACUUGAUUGGAUUGAAGGAUGCAAAGUAUUGAUCCUGGGUGUGUCUGUGAGGGUGUUGCCAAAGGAGAUUAACAUUUGAGUCAGUGGGCUGGGAAAGUUCGACCCACUGUUAAUCUAGAUGGACACCAUCUAAUCAGAUGCCAGUGCAGCUAGAAAUGUAAAGCAGACAGAAAAAUGCGAAAAGAGAGACUGGCCUAGCCUGCCAGCCUACAUCUUUCUCCCACGCUGGAUGCUUCCUGCCCUCGAACAUCAGACUCCAAGUUCUUCAGUUUGGGACUUGGACUGGCUCUCCUUGUUCCUCAGCUUGAAGACUGCCCAUUGUGGGACUUGUGAUCAUGAUAACAGAAGUUCAAGAGGAAAGGACAGUGAGAGACCAUGACUAAAGAAUUACUCCGUGAACAACUCAGGAGGACCAGCUAUGAUUUCACUCUCAUUCAAAAAAGAGAAAUAAUAUUUCUUUCAGCUGCUACCCAUAAAAUAUUUUUGAAUGUGUGUACAAUGUUCAUGCUGUAAUGGCUGCUCUAUCAUGAAGGAUGUGUUGACACCUCGUGGGUGGCUUUUCACAAUCCCCUUGGACACAGAUUGGGGGAUUGACGGCCCCAUCCCCUCAUUUUCCACACCGAGGGGCAGUUGGGAUAUGCAUAAAAUCUUGUUCUCUAGUUAGGACCUGUUGCUAUAAAUCUAGCAUCAAGAGUAUCACUAUUUUCUAAACACUUUGCCAGACAGCCUUCGGAGUAUAAUUUUCUGAAGUUUAUAAAGCAUAACUCAUACACACACCUAGUGACCAUGUUCUGAAGGUAUAUUUAACUCCUGCAUGAGGGAACAGGCAGGAUGAAAGUGGGUUCUAAGGAAGAGACUAGCAUAUAUGAUCAACGGGGAAAAAUGAAGAGUAAGCUUGAAACCGCCUUUGCAAAAAUUAUAACCGAGGAGAUUAUGACAGUGAAGGAGAUCAGACCUAACCGACCCCAUCUUGCUUCUAACCUUUAAGCUGUCCUUGUUCAUUCCUGGGUGUAGGCCGAACUAACUUUGGGAAGGAAUUUGUUCGUGGUUUGACUCUGAAACAAAAAAAUUGAUAAUAGCCCUUUCCCGAAAAGACCGCCUUCUUGCCUGGGGACCAGUCUGCCUUUGCAGGACCAACAAAUUAACUACGAGAUUAGAAAUUACAGUUUAGGGGUCCUGCAGCCUCUGACUCCAAGAGUCUGACCCUCCCCACAUUGCUUCUGGGGAUAACAUCACUAUUAUAAAACCUAAGAUCAGUGCUUGAGAUAUUUUGCAGACCCUGCACUGGAUGGAUCAGCUGACACCACCCAGACCCGUAAUCUGGAUCAACCAGUUCUGCCAUCCCACCCAGGAACAGAAGAUGCAAGAAAAACUCACUUUGACCCUCUAUGAUUCCAUCUCCAACCUGACCAAUCAGUACUCCCCACUUCCCAAGCCCCUGCCUGCCAAAUUAUCUUUAAAAACUCUGAUCCCCGAAUGCUUGGAGAGGCUGAUUUGAGUAACAACACAACUCUGGUCUCCUGCACAGCCAGUUCUGUGUGAACUACCCUUCGCCCAUUGCAAUUCCCCUGUCUUGAUAAAUUGGCUCUGUCGAGGCAGUGGGCAAGGUGAACCCACUGGGCAGUUACAAGACUGCAAAGUUAGAAACAAAACUGGCAAUGCCCCAUGGGUCAAAAAUAAUCAAUUAAUUCAUAACAUUUGACUUGAUUAAGUUUUCUACUGGACAGAAACAAUUUGCAACUUAUCCUUCCUCUACAUUGUUUGACUGCCAUGUCAAUUGUAAGUAUUAGAUCAAAUUUUAAAAUAAUUAUUUUAGAGCUUCAGAUGCACCUUACAUGGGCUUGUUAGAUUGUUAGACACUGCUUAGUGACAUUGAAAGAGGGCACAAUACUUUUUUUGCCUUAUUUCUAAGUUGUGGGUAUCCUUUUCUUAACACUUCUUUUCUGUGAUUCUAUGCAAGACAAUCGUUGAUGAAAUGGGAUUUUCUGGAUGGAAAGUCCGUGUACUUUACUGAAACCUCUUUCUACAGUUCUGUCUUUCAAGUGGGAUUCUGUGAGCUGACUCAUGACAGCUGAGCAUCAUCGGAGAUUGGCUUCAAUGGUCCUCAAUGUGCAGAACAUAAAUAGCAAUUUCUACCAUCAUUCAAUAGCAUUUGUGGGUCCUUUUAUAUGGAGUAUAUAAAAGUAUUUGCAGGUCUUGGUUUAUCUGUCCCCACGUGACAUACCUAUAGAACAGGUAUUUUCAUCCCAGCUACUUAUUAUAAAUAUUUAAUAAGUAGGCUAAUGGUUUGGAAUUCUAUUUCUCUAUUUGCAUGAGUCAAAUAAUAGACCAAAUUCUUUCAAAAAGAGGAGAUGUUAACAUACCAAAAGAAACUGAAACAAGAGCAUUGAACCCACGGUGCCCUUCAGAAACACCUGCCAACAAUGGGGCAGAGUGUCCAGCUGCCUGGACAGUGUGUGCAGGGGCGGGGCCCUUCCUGUUCACAAUGGCUUUGCCUGGCAGUUAAAAUGCAAAUGGAGGGCAGACUGAGAGUGCAUCACCCUCUCACAUCUCAGAGUCUAAAAGGCGGCCUUUCAGUGCCUUCUGUUCAAAUUGCAAAUGCUCUUCCUUUAUCCCCCAAGGCCUGGGAGACAGUUCUGAAUAAUUCUUCCCCAACAAAUUGGCUUUCCUCUUCCCAGCAACAAAAGCCCUUAUUGGUUUUAAAAGUGCAAAGAACAAAUUUUAUUCAAGGGUCUUAAGGCAGAUGAAGGUUCACAGAAACUACAAGGGCAGUUCCAGGGCCUCCACGUACGACCGUGUCCCUAUAACGACUGGUCCUUAUAAGAGGCCAGCAACAGUAUCUUAUUUUCCUGUACAGGCCUGGGAUUCCCAGUAAUUUCUUUGCAUUGGCUUUGUAAGCACAAUUACCCAGAGUUUCCGAGAAUUGGGACAUUUCCAAGAAAUUGCCCAAUGGGUCAGUGGAGUGCUGUCAAAUGAGAUGGACCAUCUUAAAAUCAAAACGUGGGUGGUUUCUGCUCAUUGCUGAGCAUUUCACUUCCAUUCUGAAAAGUCUAAGAACGUCACUCCAGGAGAUACAAUGUCAAGGGCUCCCGCCACUCUUCAUCAUUGCCCAAGUCAUAAGAAUCAUCCCCCAAAUUCCUUCUAUUUCUCCAAGGUAGGGUAACCCAGGGCUGGGUAAGCCUGUUAGGGCAGGUCAGGUUGGCACAUACCGAGGAGGAACUCAGACAGACAGACAGCGCCAGGGGACCAGCGGCACUGUGUGCUCAUCACCACCCUCAGGGAUUCAAGGGCCUUGUCCUGGUACCUGGGUCACCUUCUGAAAUAAGUGCUACUGAGGUUCAUGGCCAAGACCCUUCCAGGAAAUUCAGAAGGAGGUUGGCUUCAGUGGGAAAGUAGUCUGUGACCCAGAAGGUGUUUAUUCAACAAGGUGCAAGCUGACAACAUGUUUCUUUGCUCUGGACACUGGAAUUAAACUCCUAAGAGACCCUA